rnacentral:rRNA from 1 species
GCCAGACUCCUACGGGAGGCAGCAGUCGGGAAUAUUGCGCAAUGGAGGAAACUCUGACGCAGUGACGCCGCGUGCAGGAAGAAGGUUUUCGGAUUGUAAACUGCUUUAGACAGGGAAGAAAAAAGACAGUACCUGUAGAAUAAGCUCCGGCUAACUACGUGCCAGCAGCCGCGGUAAUACGUAGGGGGCAAGCGUUAUCCGGAAUUACUGGGUGUACAGGGUGAGUAGGCGGCAUGGUAAGCCAGAUGUGAAAGCCUUGGGCUUAACCCGAGGAUUGCAUUUGGAACUAUCAAGCUAGAGUACAGGAGAGGAAAGCGGAAUUCCUAGUGUAGCGGUGAAAUGCGUAGAUAUUAGGAGGAGCACCAGUGGCGAAGGCGGCCUGCUGGACGAUGACUGACGCUGAGGCUCGAAAGCGUGGGGAGCAAACAGGAUUAGAUACCCUGGUAC